GCUCAUAGAAAGAGAAAAGGAACAGGAGGGGGGAAAAAGAUAACAAGAUCUCAUAAAAGAGCUCAUACAAAGAGAGAGGGGAAGGGGGAAGGGGGGAGAGAUAACAAGAUAACAAUAAUUGAACAAUACUAGAAAAAGAGAACAGAAUGUUGAGAUCACUAUAGCACCACAGUACAUGCUCUUCUUUCUUCUCCCACUCUUGGAACUCAGCCCGAGCACGCUCUCUGGCCAGUAAUGCCUGUAGAUGAAAAUAUUAGGUGAUCCAUUAUCACACUAUUCCAGAUAGUUUACCAGAUGAAGCUCAAAGUGCAGGCAAACCAUAGAGAUCUAUACAAUUGUGACCUACAAAAAUUAAUUCAUCCUAUGGACACUUGAUGAAAAAUCUAAACAAUGAAAAUAGUAAUCAAACAUACCAUUUCUUCCUCGUGUUGUGCUUUUUCAAUUGCCCUUUCCACCCUUCUCUUUUUCAAUCUCUGCCACAAACAUAAAUUUGGAUGGUUACACAAAAUCUCAAUUUAAAAAAUGCUCAUUUUACUUGGAAAGUACAACUUAUAUCAGUAUAUUAUAUUCAUUAAUACACAAACAUAUAUGAAGGUUAAUGAAUCUCCAAACAGUAAAUAAAAAUGGUACACGAGUAGUUAGUUGCUAGUAGUUAUACCGAUGAUCCAAAAUGAUACUCCCUUGUUUUGAAAUGAAAGGCAUACUUCUUUUUUGUUAAUUUUUGGAGUUUUAAAGUUUGCACAGGUUAGAGUUAUACAUAAUUCUAUUUAGUAAUAUUCUUCUAAUAAUAAAUUAUAGUUUCUAAAGUAUAAUAACGAAAAAAAGAAUAAAUUAAGUCGGAAACAAAAAAAGUAGGAUUCACAGUUCCAAACAGAGAGUUACUAUUAAAUUUUCGCAACAGAUAAAAUAAUGUGGAUAACAAACUGAUCCUACAUACCAUUCUUUCUCUAUUCAUUUUCUUCUUUUCUUUUACCGAAAACAUUUCAAGUGGCAUGCCUUACGUAACAUUACGCUCAAUCUUCUUUUGCCAAACAAAUCUGCAUAUCAAAUAUUCAUAUAAAUGUAUCAGCAGUACGAAAUAUAGCACUAACAAGUUUUCCUCCAUUCCUUUCAUAUUUUAAGCUAAUAAUCUGAUGUUACUUAUUUUGUAAAGCAAUUUCUACAAAAAUAACCAAAGAGCUUUAUAAUUACAUUUAAAGAGUAAAAGAAAACAUAUCGGCUCAUAGUCUCAUUCAAAGUCUAUAAAGCAAACAAAUUUAACAUAAGGCUUAGGUAAAGAUUAUUAACCAGAAAAUUUAAAACCUAACUUGGAACAGAAAGAAUUCUUGGAGGACUGCCGGUAAAACCAUUGAUUUACAUCAUCCAAUAACAACCUGACAAUUCAAUGUGUUACGAGAAAAUAAAGGAGUUUAAAUUGCAUCAACCUAUUCAAUUUGAUUAAUUAAAUAAUUUUUCACCACGAUAAUAGUUAUCACAGUCUGUAAAUACAAUCAAAUUCUUUGAUUUUCUCAUAAAUACUUACUUGGCCAAUUGCUAAUAGAUGUUGUCAACAAGUGGUUUUACUAAUCCACAACUUGAAAACAAGGAAAGAAAUGAAAAAUGUUACAUAGAAGGCAAGACAAGCUUGAGUUCAAGUCCUGACUUAUUAGCUUAAGUUUUGAGGGAGAAAAAAGGAUGAAGCGUAAAUGGAUUUAAAAGGUGUUGAUGAUUCCAUUUUGUGACAGUCUGCUCUUGGAUAUCCACUCACUAGGAUUUUAAUUUCUUCCAGAUCUUCCACUACAUUAUUACUUAAUUCUUGGGGGUUAUUAGGUUAUAUUCAUCUGAACUCAAUUGCACUGAAUCAAUUUUCCAAAUGCAAUACAGAACACGAUACAUAACCCUUUCCAGCUUAAUGUCACAACAAUAUUAAAAUAACAACUUGUUACCGAUCUGCACUCAACUGCGAAUUAGGGUUCAUGAGAAAUCGCAGCAGCUUUAGAUUUGGGAGAUUAAAUAACAAACUUACCGAUUCAAUGCUGAUGAGUUUGCUGUAGAACACAAAUUUUGGACGCACAUGGUCAAAUUUGCACAAAUUCCCCCUGUUUAUAUUUUAUUUUAUUGUCCUUCUCUUAACCUUUAUUGCAGGUCUUCCAGUUCCAUGAGGCUAUAUAGCAAAAAUAGAACUAGUAAUACAAGUUCAAUUGUAACUUUUAAAAAACCAAAUUUCAGCAAAAUUCUUAAUCUUUUCAUAUAUUACCUUCUUUUUCUCUCCCCGUGUCUUUCAUGUGAUCCAAACAGAGUAUCAAGAACACAAUCCGCAAUUACAAGGUUAAUCUCCACAAACAACACAGAAAGACAAAAGAUAGAUUCAUAAGGAAAGCACUUGAUGUGGAUUUGAGUAAUAGGCCAACAAUUAAUGUAAUAAACAACCACAUAUUUCAUAUAAAACAAUUCACUAAUAAAUCUAUAUCAGAGUCUCCAUAAGUUUUCAACUUCUAUGAUAACUGAAAUCGCACAUGCAAAUCAAACAGUCAAAAAAUGACAACUUUUAAACAGAAAAUGCAGACAUGCAAACUCACACACAUCUAUAUAUAUAUAUAUAGAGAGAGAGAGAGAGAGAGAAAGAGAUAUAUAGAGAGAGAGAGACCUGUAAGAGAUUAGCAAUGGUUUCAACAGCGGCAGUUUUGUAAGAGUUUAGCAUUGCGUGUUUAGUUUCAAGUACAAAAUAAAUUCAAUUUUACUCCAUGCACGUGUUCUAAGUAAUCAAUCAUGGUACUUGGUCAAUUAUUAACACCAAAAAUCAGUCAUGAUACCCUUCUCAACAUAGCAAAUACAAGAGUAAACAUUGAGAUUCCCAACAUAUAUAGCAAAAUCUAAACAAAAAACAAGAUUAAUAGCACAUAUAACCAAUCUUUUAUGUGAACCAAACCAUCAUGGUACCCAAUUUUUGGACAAAUAUAGAUGGGUUCCCUAUUCACAGUUUUCAAUUCUUAACCUUAUAAUUCGAAAACCUCACCGAUUAAAUGUUGAUUAAUUUGAUGUAGAACACAAAUCUUUCACUCUUGGUCCCGAAUCUUGCACUUUUUUUCCAAUUGAAUGGUUUUCUAGAGGAAUCGUUGAUGAAAAACAAGAAUCGCUGCUGAGAUUGAAAACUUAGGGCUGUAAUUUUGCCAAAUUUGUUUAAAGUGAGAAUCCGUCCGCUAGACAUUCAGCGGAUGUGGUGAAGAAUUUUGCAAAAUCAACCCAUAUAAAUUUUAAACCAAUCCACUAGAAUUAAUAGCGGAGGGCGAAAAUGGUUUUUUAAUCUGGAUUGUUAAUAAUUGUUAUGGAU
rnacentral:lncRNA from 1 species